UACGUAGGGUGCAAGCGUUGUCCGGAAUUAUUGGGCGUAAAGAGCUCGUAGGCGGCUUGUCGCGUCGACUGUGAAAUCCCGCGGCCUCGAACUGCGGGUCUGCAGUCGAUACGGGCAGGCUAGAGUUCGGUAGGGGAGACUGGAAUUCCUGGUGUAGCGGUGAAAUGCGCAGAUAUCAGGAGGAACACCGGUGGCGAAGGCGGCAUCCUGGACCGAUUACUG
rnacentral:rRNA from 1 species